rnacentral:rRNA from 1 species
GACGAACGCUGGCGGCGUGCUUAACACAUGCAAGUCGAACGGAAAGGCCCUGCUUUUGUGGGGUGCUCGAGAGGCGAACGGGUGAGUAACACGUGAGUAACCUGCCCUUGACUUUGGGAUAACUUCAGGAAACUGGGACUAAUACCGGAUAGGAGCUCCUGCUGCAUGGUGGGGGUUGGAAAGUUUCGGCGGUUGGGGAUGGACUCGCGGCUUAUCAGCUUGUUGGUGGGGUAGUGGCUUACCAAGGCUUUGACGGGUAGCCGGCCUGAGAGGGUGACCGGCCACAUUGGGACUGAGAUACGGCCCAGACUCCUACGGGAGGCAGCAGUGGGGAAUAUUGCACAAUGGGCGGAAGCCUGAUGCAGCAACGCCGCGUGCGGGAUGACGGCCUUCGGGUUGUAAACCGCUUUCGCCUGUGACGAAGCGUGAGUGACGGUAAUGGGUAAAGAAGCACCGGCUAACUACGUG